GAUGAACGCUGGCGACGUGCCUAAUACAUGCAAGUCGAGCGAAUGGAUUAAGAGCUUGCUCUUAUGAAGUUAGCGGCGGACGGGUGAGUAACACGUGGGUAACCUGCCCAUAAGACUGGGAUAACUCCGGGAAACCGGGGCUAAUACCGGAUAACAUUUUGAACCGCAUGGUUCGAAAUUGAAAGGCGGCUUUGGCUGUCACUUAUGGAUGGACCCGCGUCGCAUUAGCUAGUUGGGGGGGUAACGGCUCACCAAGACAACGGUGCGUAGCCGACCUGAGAGGGUGAUCGGCCACACUGGGACUGAGACACGGCCCAGACUCCUACGGGAGGCAGCAGUAGGGAAUCUUCCGCAAUGGACGAAAGUCUGACGGAGCAACGCCGCGUGAGUGAUGAAGGCUUUCGGGUCGUAAAACUCUGUUGUUAGGGAAGAACAGGUGCUAGUUGAAUAAGCUGGCACCUUGACGGUACCUAACCAGAAGGCCACGGCUAACUACGUGCCAGCCGCCGCCGUAA
rnacentral:rRNA from 1 species